GUGUAAGGCGGUAAUUAAUUCUUUAUGCUAUUGUCAUUAAGUGGGUAAUGAGUCACAAAACAAAUAAUCAAAACAUUUCAGAGGUGUGGGGGCGCCAAAAGUGUCUUUGCCCCCAGGUGCUAAGAACCCUUGCCACCCAUUGAAUGGAUGUCAUAAAUCCAUUGAAGAAAUGAAUAAAGCAUUGAAUAUCAGGUGAUCAUAAAAUGUACUCGUAACACUACAAUAAAUAUUGGAGAUUCUGAAAAAGUUAUUAGGUUAUAAAAUGUAUUCUUUCUAAUCUACAUACAGGUUGUUUUUCCGACGUCAUUACCCUUUGCUGAACAUCAGCUAUUGUGGAUUUGAUCCAGAUAACCGUUGCUGGACAAAACAGAUUGAUGCUGGGCUAUUACCACUCAGUUCUAGGCGUUGCUUUGGAUUCGUGGCAAAAAAACCACCCAGUCACAUUGACAACCAAUGUCACGUGUUUGCUGAAAUUGAUCCCAGUAACCCUGCGUCUGCUAUUGUGAGUUUGGUAGAAAAUGUCACAGCAAGUGCACCUAAGACUAUGAAGAGCAGCACAUAAAAGAGUAGAAGUACAAAUUGUUACCUUUUCUUCUAUAGUUAUAAUAUAAACGAAAAUCAGUAGGUAUCUUGAUGAUCACCCUUUGGAAUUACUCAGUGAGUGAUAUUCGUCAUUAACCAUGACCUUUGACCAUUUUUUUGUUCAAAAUUAGUAUAUGUAGAAGAACAUCGUUUUUAAAAUUUGAGCAGAGAAAAUUUGCUUUGGUGGCAAUUUUUAAUUUAUAUAUCCAUACCCAAAGAACAGUUUAACUUUCAGACGCUAUUCUAAAAGAAUUUGGAAAAAGAAAGUCACUGUGUUAUUUAUACACUGAUGUAAAAGAAGUCUCCAAUUAAAACUUUUGAAAUUAUUCAUAUUGUACCUAUAAAACCAAAAACAAAAAGCUUAAAUGGAAAUGUGACUCAUCUAACGCUAGAAUCUGUAUUUUUAUUUUGGCCGUGUUAUUAUAAUGGGAAUGCUUUGUUUAAUAGUUGGAAAAUUAAUCAUUAUUGUAAUUGUGAAAUUUUAUUUUUAUUUUCAUUAAAAAUUCAUUAAAUUCACAUUUUAAAUGGUCCUGUUGAUUAUCUAAUCUAAAUAUAUUACUCGUACAUAAUAUAUAUAGGACUUGUGUAAUCUUAUAAUUGUUAAAGGAGACUAAAAUACAAAAGAUAAUGUACUGAUAUGGAUAUAAGAUUUUUAUUUUUUGAAAUUAGAAUUGUAAUAGUUGUCUUAGUUAUGUACGUUAUGAAUGAUUUUGUGCACAAGCUAGAAUCUUCCAAGAUAUUUCUACUCUAAAUGAUUGAAAAAGAAAAAGAUUACAUUUCCAACUGGAGUAAUAUGCUGUGUACUUAAAAUAGAUAAAUAUAAUCUAAUGUAGUUAGUUUCAUGGAGCCGAAUGUUUUUUUAUUGAAUUAAUGUAUGAAAUAUUCCUCACCAUUUUAUAUCAUCAAAUGGAUUGUAUCUCCACGGAGUUAUUAUUAAGUAUUUUAUGUAAUCCUGUUUCCGGCACAUAAAACAUAUGUUCUUCAUGAAACAAAUAAUGUAUAGUAUCUUGUUAGGCCCAGUUGAAAUACUUUACUUAGACAAUUAUAUGUUUUAUAAAAUGCUUCAUCCAUUCAUAUGGCUUUGUUACAUACCUGUUCAUUUAUAUAGUUUAUGUACUUUUAUCUUAGCUGGCAAUAUAGUUUUAUUAUCAGUGCUGGCCUUAGCAAGUGUGAGGCUCCAAGUAGUAAUGUAAUCAGAAUAUAUAAAUUUUUAUUCUGAUGAAUUUAUUUUGGAUCAACAUUUACUAAGUUGUAUUUUACGUCCAAGAAAUACAACCUCCUGUUUGUUUAAAAAGUAAGGAUUUUAUAAAUAUGUCAAAAAAGGAUAUAAGUUGUAUUAUAGUGCCAAAGCCUAUUGUAUUUCCUAAAAAAAGCCUUUUGUUUGUUCUGUUUUUGGAUCUUACAAUACAAAUAAAGAGAAUCAAUUGGAAUCAUU